rnacentral:lncRNA from 1 species
UAGCCUGCUGAGGUCUGCUUGGACCCAGCCUCUGCCGUCUGGCCUACAGACCAGUCUGCCCAGUUUUGUAACAUCUGCACACUUCCUGUACAUCUGCAGAGGAGCGGUCACAAACUUCAUUAGGGGAGAGCAGACCUGGCUUCCCUGGGCUCUGUUGCCCCUCCCGUGUAGCCUUGGCCAGGUACCCAGCUCUGGGCCUCUUCUACAACAGUGACACUGGGGUGGUCUCGCAGGAUCUGAUGACCAGUUGGUUUCCAACCAAUGUGAUAAAUGCCAGGGGCUGUAUGCUCAGGAAAUGGGAGUGUCCAUUAGGAACAGGAAUGCUGAUAGCCCCAAAGCCAGGGCACGUGCCUGGAAGGCUGCCCCUCGACGCUGGCAGCGCAUCCUCCAGCCAGUGCCCUAGGGAGUCAGCGACAGCAUGUUUGCCAGCCCCCCGAGCCUCCGGGCCUCUCCUCUGCCGAGCCAGUCGGUGCCCUUCCCCACCCCCAUGUGCUGGGAGCAGUGUCAGAGGAGGGGGUGAGGCUCUCUGUGAGCCCCUACUCCCAAAGAGCCCCUCCCCCGAGGGGAGAGCCACGCUGCCCACGUCCUGACCUUUAUCCUCCAUUCCUGUUGUCAGAGUUCGAUUUCCCAGAAACAAAGAAAACGUUGAGUCUUACCCUCGUGCAUUCGCUAAGGUCACCUUAGGCCCAACAUUGACCACAUCUCUGCUACACCCUGUGGUAGACAGGCCUCCGUCCCUUCAGAAGCCGCCAGGAGGCUGCUGGGACACUCCCCACACUGGGUUCUCCGAGCUGGCUGGAGAGCACCAUGCUGACGGGGCUCAGGGCUCUACGGCCUCCCUCCCCGUCAAGGCCGGCGUUCAGCUUCCCUUGGGCCCAUGCUUGGUGAACACCUCUUCUCCUCCAGGGUGGCCGUUGGGUCCUGCCCGGCCCCCAGCCCGCACUGCGCUCAAGGAUGUGGAUCCCUGAGGCUCCAGCUCUGCCAAACCUUCCUUGCAUUUAGAAUGCUCUGGAAAUAACUCCACAUUCCCACCUAGGGAGGGUAGAGGCUCCAAAAGUAAGUAUGCUCAGACCUCCAAAACUUCUCGAAAGGCAAAGAUAAUUGGAAAGCAAAUCCAUUACCCCUCCACCGGCUGCUUUGCCCUCCCCCAUCUGCUCUAUUUCCAUCCCUCACGCGCCCCCCAAGGUCGGUGUGACUUUCUAGAACUCCCCUGGAUUGUAUUUAUGUCCUUCAACAAACAAAUUGAAAACCAGUCAGGAAGGAAUUCAAAUAGCAAUGUGCUGAAGAUACACAUCUUUCUUUCCCAGGGAAUAUAAUUUAUCUCUAACUCCCUCCUCGAACGUGGGUUUCACACAUUGUGAAGUCCUGUCUUCAAGUGAUUUUCACCCUCAUCCUUCACCAAAAGCUACAUAAGGGCCUUUGGCAUCCAGGCUCGGAUUUUUCACUUUGGACCAUUAUCGACGUGUUGCUUUCUUGAAUUCCCAAGUGGCUUUCCUCUGGAAGGCCUGUGGUCAGUGAGUCUUCGGCGUGGGCCCCGCCACCCCGGCCAGGGCCCCCGGGGUGUGGUGCUCACAGUGGGCAGGGGGCUGGCGGUGGGGUCGCCCCCACUCUGCUCCGUGCCCUGCACCCUGACGGCUCCUUCGCGGUUCAAGCAUCUAAAUCAGGUGGCCUUUCAGUCAACACGUUGAAUUGCUUCCAAUUUCGCAGAAGAGAGAAGGGGGCGUGGGUUGGUCCCUGGAGUAGACGGGAGUGGUGUCUGGCUUUUCUCUCCACUGCUGCCGGGAAAGCACCCCUGGGACCCAGAAUGGCCAGGACCCUGGAGAGGAGAGAACAGCAGGGCGGCUCUGGGGGUCCACACCCCCCACACUGGGCCCCUCCCCCUUCCCCUCCAGGAAGAAAGGACACAGAACAGGUUAGAAUUCGUAUUUCAAACACACGCAUGUUCUUCCCCUUAGAGGAGAAAGGCUGUCCUUACAUAGAUUUUUUUAAACAAUAUUAAUGGAUUCCCUAUUGAAUGUUGGAUGCCUACUGCUUUUUGAACCUAGAUUUGGCACUUCUUUCCAGUUCCAGUUGUUCCGUGUGGGCCAGAGGGGAAAUUAGAGGACAUUCCACCAGCACAGGAUGCUAUAAGACCAGAAAGUCUGGUUUUUAGCCUGUGAUUUUUAAAACGCCCAAGUUCCAGAAGUAGUUGAGUUUCACAAGCGUGGGAAACACGCUCCCGAAGCAAGGAUUCAGGACGGCAGAUUUGAAAACCCCUCAUUUCCGCACUUCACUUGCGGGGGGGGGGGCGGCAGGUGCUGAUUUUGCUGUCAAACGACAGCAUUUGGUUCUGGGGCUUGCACCUGGUUGGUAAAAAUGCUUUUGUCCGAGGGCCCCCAUCCCAUCCAAAGGGCCUGCGGUGCCAGGAGGCGGGCAGGGGGAGGCAGGUGUGCCCAGCGGCGCCCCGCCGUGAGCUGCCCCUGCCAAGCAACAGACAAGCUCGGGGGUUUAGCAGGUGUCACCCUGUGCCGGGCACUGCAGGGUACGUGCAGGGCAAGCCGCCUUCGUCGGGGGGGGGGGGGGUGCAUGGUGCGAGAGGUCAGCCCAGGGCUUGUGUUCUACUCUGGCCUGGUGUGUGGCUUCUGUAGAGAACGCCCCCGAGGGCCCGGGGGGUGCCAUAUGAUAGAGACUCGCCUGCCAAAGUGAGGGCUGCCUAGGGUUCACUGUCAGCAGGAACUCCGUGUCCUUCACCUUGAGACGCAGGUGAAAGAAAAGAACCACAUAAGACGUAAGAGCUUCGAGGAAUCUUCCAAGCGGAACGCUCAGGUGUCGGGAGCAGCUGCCCCUAAAUCAGAGUGUGCCCUGAUCCCCCGGACCAGAUUGUGGCCACGGUGCCCGGGAAGUCAGCAUCUGGGCCGGCCCAAACUCCAGUAACGAGGCGGGUCACCAACCCCCAGGAGGUCACGUAGUCGUGCCUGAUGCCCCGUGUAAGGUGGUGCGUGUCCCGGCUUGAGGAAGGACGUCCUGGGGCUGUCCGCCCCUGGCCGGGCACCCGGGGGUAGAAAUCCCGAGUGACAGGCCUUUUGCCAGAGGCCGGGGGGGCGCCCAGCUGGUGACCACUGCUCCCAGCCCUGCGGCCGCCAUCCCGCCACAGAAGACAGAGGGGCCCAAGGGCGCCGGAGCUGGAGCCAGGGCGGGAGCUCGCCUGCUGACCCUGCGGGAGCCCGGGGCACCCUCCGGCCCCAGCCCCGCCCCCGGGUGCACAGCAGGGGGCCACCGGGCUGCUCAGGCGCCCAGGCAGCGGGAUGCGUAAAAGGGCUUUGCGGCUCGUCACGCGGCUCCAGGUUGGAAAACCUGCCUUCCUUAAACCUCAGGAGCACCCCCGUUUCCCUCCUCCCAGCUGGGCUUCUGUGCUGAGCACGUGCGCCUCUUGAGGCUGCCACCCCUGCCCUGCUCUGAGCAGCCACGUGCUGGGGACGGUGCCCUGCGCCCUUGACCGAGGCCGCUCCACGGGGCCCGGAGGGAGCGGCCUCCCCAGGCCCAGGCCCGGCCGUCGGGUGUCGGGAGUGCUUCCUGCCCCACGUGGCCCCGACUCUCCUGCCCGUGACCCUGAAUCGGGGGUGGGGGGUGCUCGUGUGGCAGCUGGUGUGCUUCCCAGCGGGAGCCCGAGCGGGUCCAAGGUGACGAGGGAGGCAUUUCUGGGAGGGAAACAGGGGACACCGAGUCUCUGCCCCCCGCAGCACAUUUUUCUGUUUCUGUAAAUAGUGAUGUAUAGAAGAUGGAAGAGCGGCCUGGGGUUUAUCUAGAGGUGGGUUUGGUUUCUUUGGGGUUUUGGUUUUUUUUUUUUUCUUUUUUUUUUUCCUUCGGUUGUUUUUAUAUUACCUCAUUCAGCAAGUUUGUUUCACAAUGACUCAAUGAUGCUUUAUUUAUAUUGUUUGUACUGUAAUUAAAACCAUUGACAGACAUUUCACUUUGCUUGUUAUUUCAUAUGAUUUUGUUUUGAUUAAAUAUGCCAGUUUGUAUUUUCCUGCAUUGGGAUUUUUUUGUGUCCGCUGUACAGUAUUCUAAGGGGGGAGAAAAAGAGAAAAAGAGAAAUGUGUAAAGUAAUGGGGAGAGGUGGCUAUAGUGUAGAGACCUCUUU